rnacentral:lncRNA from 1 species
AUAAUCAGGCUGCCCAGCUUGUUGGCUUGGACAUGGCUCCUCUCCACUUAGGAGGCUCUGCCCACUCACAUUCCAGGCCUCAGCUUGCCAUGUUUUCCUGUUAAGCCCAGAACCCUUCCCCUGGGUCCCUUCCUCAGAGGGGACAUGUUGGGAGCCACAGUCUCAGAGAUACUUGGGAUUUUAAACAUGAUGCAACUCUAGGGCUGACUUUGGAAUUCUGUGGGCUGUGCUUGGCCCAGAUCCCACCUUUGGGCCACUUUUGCUGCUGCUAUUAUUUUUAGUUGGUGGGGCAAUCAUUGUGUGCCUUUGUACAGUUUUCAUUUGGGAAGCCUUAGAGCUCUUUAACUCCACUCCAUUCUAUCACAUCCUUGUUUAGCAAUGAUCAUCCUUUUGCAUUACAAACUAGAAAAGCAACUCCGUAAGACUAACAAACUCUCUUCAACCAAGUAAAGGAGACUCCUUGUGGAGGGGAGCCCCUGCCCGCUCACCUGGAUGACCAUGCCUCACCUCUGCCGAUCACAUGCAAAUAUUUGUCCUGUUCUGAGACAUCCUCCUGGGUCCCAGCUUCUUCUCUUGAAGAUACAGAUUUCCAGUGCACCAUCAGAAGCCGAAGUAACUGUGAGUGGGAGGCAUUGGAGCCGGCUGGGAGGUAAGCAUUCGGGCCAGCAGGGAGGAGGAGUCGCCCAUGUAGCAGUGCUGGAUGACAACAUUCCCACACUGCCCUCGGACACAUCACAGACCCUGGUACCACAGGAUCCCUCUGAUUCAACUGAAGAGAGAUGCAGAGCUGCAUGCCACCAAAAAUGGAUGCAGAUGCAUCAGCUACCUCACAAGGAAAACCUGUUCUCACAAGUUUUAUCGCACCACUUGGCAGAGAAAAAGGCUUGGGUAGAGGCUGAGAACUUUCACAUAUAACCAGAAAGCUCGGGAAUUCAGCCAUCUUGACUUACCACCCACCGCUGAAAAGAAACUUUCGCAAACUCUCAGAGCCAGGAUCUAAGAGUCCCCUCCUAAUCAGAAAAGGAGGAAACUCUACAAGGUCCAACUUUCUCUUUAAAGGAAAUUCUGUAGAUGGCUACAAAGCCAGGUCAUUUUAGAAUUUCUCACGGUAAUGAGGAGCUCAAAGACUGGUUGGCAUGGUUCUCUUACCUCUAUCCUUUUCGUCUCUUUCCUCCCAGCCUCCAUUGGCCCAAGGAACAUGUCUGGCCUGAUUUGAAGCUGCUACAUCUACUUUGAAAGAAGCCACAUAACCUUUGCUGCUACUUCAUUUCAAGUUUUCCUUUGAAUUUUCUAUUUCCUGAGCUGGGAGAAAUGAGAGGAUGCACCCUCUCCCUUUCUAACAGGCCCUUCUCACUUGCUCUGAUGAGUCUGGCUCUCAAGUGAGCUGCCCUGAUGGAGAGGCCCGCAUGUCCAGAAUGAAGCAUACCUUCUGCCAACAGCCAUCAAGGAACUGAAUCCUUCCUACAACCACGUGGGCAACAUUCGAAGGAAAUCCCCCCCUAGCCAAGCUUUGAGAUGACUACAGCCCCAGUGUACACCUCCAUUGCAGUUUUAUAAAAGACCUGAGACAGAGGACCCAGCUAAGCCAUGGGCCAGCCAGGAUUUCCUGACCUAUAAUAACUGUGAAAUAGAAUAAUAAAUGUUGUUGUUGUAAGUCACUACUUUUCUGACUAAUUUGACAUGCAGCAAUAGAUAACUAAUUUCAGGAACAAGGACAAAGAGUAAGAACUAAUCAUGGCCCACCUGAACCAUUCACGUACUAAGCAGAGACAGUCAGAAGAACAAGUAUUGACAUCCUGCCCCUGUCCCCCUCUACAGGUAGAAAUAAAAUUUUCCUGAUUCCCAGUACUUUGGGAGGCUGAGACAGGCAGAUUACCUGAGGUCAGGAGUUCGGGACCAGCCUGACCAAUACGGUUAUACUUUGUCUCUACUAAAAAUACAAAAAUUAGCUGGGUAUGGUGGUGGGCACCUGUAAUCCCAGCUACGUGGGAGGCUGAGACAGGAGAAUUGCUUGAACCUGGAAGUCAGAGGUUGCAGUGAGCUGAGAUCAUACCAUUGCACUCCAGCCUGAGUGACAGAGCAUGAAUCCAUCUCAAAAAAAAAAAAAAUUACCACCUUAACCAUUUUUUUUUUCAAAAGGACUUCACUCAUGGAAGAAAAACUUUACUUGCUGUUUCAAAAAAAUAUUUGUGUGAAGCAGAAAUUGGUUUCAAUAACAUUAGUAAAGAAUACAUCCUGGAAAAUAGAUAAAACUGGAUGUAAAAUUCUGGCAGCAAUUUAAUUGGACAGUCCCAGAUGGUUAGGCUGAGGAUAAAUGUCUUGUCUGUGGGGAAUUUUGGACGACACCUGGAGAAAGAUUACACUGCGCCUAAACCAAAUUGAGUUGCUUUCACAAGCCUUGUAAAAUUUCAUAUAGUAAAAGGUUUUUUCUAUAUGCACUUCAAUUUCAUAGCAAGAAUGGCAAAGAAUACCUAAAUGCAGAAGAGAGCAUUCAUGCAAUAUAUCUAACUACUUGAUAUAAUAACACAUACAAUUCAAAAAUGAUUACACUCUCAUUAUAUCUAGGGUUUCUGAAACUACAAGGUAGUAGUUAUGGAAAGCAUGGCCCCUGGUUUCAACAUCUAAAAA